ACGGGAGGCAGCAGUGGGGAAUAUUGGGCAAUGGGCGCAAGCCUGACCCAGCGACGCCGCGUGAGGGAAGAAGGUCUUCGGAUUGUAAACCUUUGUUAACAGGGACGAAUAAAUGACGGUACCUGAAUAGAAAGCCACGGCUAACUACGUGCCAGCAGCCGCGGUAAUACGUAGGUGGCGAGCGUCGUCCGGAUUUACUGGGUGUAAAGGGUGUGUAGGCGGGUCUGCAAGUCAGAUGUGAAAUACCGAGGCUUAACUUCGGGGCUGCAUUUGAAACUGUGGAUCUUGAGAGUGGGAGAGGUAAGCGGCAUUCCCGGUGUAGCGGUGAAAUGCGUAGAUAUUAGGAGGAACACCAGUGGCGAAGGCGGCUUGCUGGACGACAACUGACGCUGAGGCGCGAAAGCGUGGGGAGCAAACAGGAUUAGAUACCCUGGUA
rnacentral:rRNA from 1 species